rnacentral:rRNA from 1 species
AAUAUUUGACAAUGGGGGCAACCCUGAUCCAGCCAGGCCGCGUGUGUGAAGAAGGUCUUCGGAUUGUAAAGCACUUUAAGUUGGGAGGAAGGGCUUUAGGCUAAUACCCUGAAGUUUUGACGUUACCAACAGACUAAGCACCGGCGAACUCUGUCCCAGCAGCCGCGGUAAUACAGAGGGUGCAUGCGGUAAUCGGAAUUACUGGGCGUAACGCGCGCGUAGGUGGUUCAGUAAGAUGGGUGUGAAAUCCCCGGGCUUAACCUGGGAACUGCUUUCAUAACUGCUGAGCUAGAGUACGGUAGAGGGUAGUGGAAUUUCCUGUGUAGCGGUGAAAUGCGUAGAUAUAGGAAGGAACACCAGUGGCGAAGGCGACUACCUGGACUGAUACUGACACUGAGGUGCGAAAGCGUGGGGGGCAAAC